CAGGUAGUGCGAGGGUACUUGACCAAUUGCUUGUUCUUGCUGAGGACUCUGCACCUUGAGGAAGUGUCACUGAGACUGAGAUAGUUGAUAUCUCUGUUGCAUCAUCAACAUUCCAGAAGAAGCAGCUACUUGUUUCCUCUGGCAGCACCACCAGAAGUUCUCACCAAGUUAUUUCUGUGGUGUGACCUCCUUUUCUUUCAUACUGCCUGGAUUCUCAAGGUUCCUGCACAUGAUUUCAGCCUGAGAAAACUCAUCCAGCUAGAAAAAGGAGGUAUCCUACUGGACAAAGAAGAGAAUUUGCUAGAUGUGGAAGCAGUUCAGACGAGGAAGGUCACCCCGGUCUUCCGCAGGCAGAUAUUUCCUGGUAUCCGUAUCCUUCUACCACAUGAAGAGCUCACAGGCUACACGGGACGGACAGAUGUAAAUAAAUAUAGAAAUGUGUUAAGAGCUACAGUGGAGGAGCAUGCAAUGGAUGAUUUCAAUGCUUGUCAAAGUAUCUUAAUGUCCCACUUUUAAAAAAUCCAAUAAUACUUUGGGCAUCAUCUGGGGCUUAGAAAAAGAACGUAAAAAGAAGGUAAAUUUGCUCUUUAUUAAAAUAUUCAGCUCGACAUACACUGUGACCAGGGAAAACAGUGCAGACUUUUUGCAUAUAGAACACCUCUAGUGUUCUUAUAAAGGGCUUCUGUGUGUGUGUCUGUGUGUGUUUCUAUAGUUACCCAUCCCAAAACUACAGGAACAAUUAGGAGGCAUAUUGGUACCUCACACCAUGAUGGAGAUGUUAAAGAAGAAUAUGGAUGACGUGGC
rnacentral:lncRNA from 1 species